AUAGAAUCAUAUUAGGUGAGGUUACUCUGAAGAACACAGGUUAUCGCUCGGAAAUGUCGAGAGACAGUAACGAGUAAAGCAGGGAUUGUCGAAUUAAGGCUUUUCCAAGAUAACUAGAAAUUUCAUUCUUACGUCUCAGAAAGCCAAAGCUCAAUUAUCGUGAUUAUUC
rfam:Enterococcus gilvus ATCC BAA-350 genomic scaffold acEQl-supercont1.2, whole genome shotgun sequence.